GCCGGGUGCAGUGACACACACCUAUAAUCCCAGUGGCUUGGGAGGCUGGGACAGGAGGAUCACGAGUUCAAAGCCAGCCUCAGCAAAAGUGAGGCACUGAGCAACUAACUCAGUGAGACCCUGUCUCUA
rnacentral:sRNA from 1 species